AUGAGCACCGCAACCCCAGAGUCAUCAGUGACUGGACCUAUCGGUCAGGGGUCCCUUUACAUUUACCUUUAAGGCUAGAAGAUGCAUGAGGAAAGAAGACGUUCAUGGAUGAUAAAGCAGAAAUCCAAAGCUUAUUUUUUUACAAAGUGGCAAUAACACGAAUGGGUAUAUAUGCUGCCAGUAACUGCAUAUGAAUACAGACUGUUCUGUUAAUGGAGUUUUGUGAGCCACAUUAAAUUGAUCCACAAACUGGGUAUCCACUUUAUCCAGGUAUUAUUAAUACAUUGGAUACUCUGGAGUCUCCUGGGGCAAAACAGGAGUAAAGCCUAUGGUGACUUGCCCAAGCAAAUAAUGCCCUUAGUUGUCCCUUUAUUUCAAUCCAGGACACAGCCCAAAGAAAGCUAAAAUACUGAAAAACAGCUUAACCUGUAGACAACCCACAUUUUAUAAAGGUAAAGGUACCCCUGCCCAUACGGGCCAGUCUUGACAGACUGUAGGGUUGUGCGCCCAUCUCACUCAAGAGGCCGGGGGCCAGCGCUGUCCGGAGACACUUCCGGGCCACGUGGCCAGCGUGACAUCGCUGCUCUGGCGAGCCAGAGCCGCACAUUUUAUAACAGUCCCCUAUUAGCCAAGGGUCAUACAAUACAGGGAAAACAAAUAUUUAUCUAAGAAUAUAGGACCAGAGCUUUCAUGGUAACCUUUCCUGUGCCCAAAUCUCCCCUGCAAAUCCCUGCAUGGCUAUUGUGUUAUAUGUGGGGUGGGAUAGAGUACUUUUGUUGCCAUGAUUGGAAAGAAACCAAGCUGCAGCAAAAAACUACCUAGGAUAAUUUGGGGGAGGUGCUGGAAGGCUUAAGUUUCUCCUGCCUUUCAGUCAGUCCCCUUCAGAUGUCCCCCUGCUCCUCCAUUCAUAUUAAAUGCAGACAAGUUGAGAAAGCACAUUUUUUUCAGUGUAACAUGUAGUUCUGCCCUAUGAGAGAGGAAACUUUGCUUUGUUUGGCUUGUGUGAAAUUUGAUUUUGUUAAAAAUAUUUCCAAAUAAAGAUUCCAGAUGUUUAUUUUCAUUAAUAGUACAGUGGUAUCUUGGUUCUCGAAUUCAAUCCAUUCUAGAAGUCCGUUCAAGAUGUGGCUUAUGAUUGGCUGAUUGGCCCCGGAAACAAUGCCGACAGCCAAAACAAGACGUCCGGCUUCCGGAAAAUGUUCACAAACUGGAACACUUACUUCUGGGUUUGCUGCGUUCGGGAGCUGAUUUGUUCGUCAACUAAGCCGUUUGGGAACCAAGGUACUACUGUAGAUAGCUUGCUUUGCAACGGAAACUCCUAGUACCAAAAAAUAAAAAAUAACACUCACCAAAAGAGUUAGAGCUUGAACUACUGUUGUGCAGUUUACUUUUAGUGCUUUCCACUGCAUGUAAUGUGCAUUUAAAUUGCUUGGGUCUCCUCACUUUGACCACAAUUACAACUGUCCUUGCUAGUAUGUUUCCAGAAAGCCUUUGUGAGGCCAUUAGCUUCAGAUUACAUUUCAGUUAAAGAAGCAAAAGGCAGAGAGAUUUUUACUUAAACAUUCCCAGAGAAUUUCCUCCCAUAAAAGGUCUGCACUUAUAAAUUUGCCUAACACAGCCUGAAGAUUGACAUUAAACAGGAGUAGUUAGUUAGACUUUCAAACCACAUAUUUUGGGCUGUAUUCAACAAACUCAUUGUGCUAGCAGAAGCCAGUACAAUUUUCACUUUCCCCUCAAUCUCCCUCCCAAAUCUGUUGCAAAGGGUUGGGAGAAUCCCCAGAAAUAGCAUUGGGCGGGUGGGAAGAGGAUCGGGGACAUUGUUUCAAGCAGACAUCCUUGCUUGAAACAAUAAUCUUACUGCUAUACUGAAUACAGGUCUCUGUCUCCACUUGUGCACUGUGCAUGAAUACCAAGGGAAAACCUCACUUUUCUGCUGUGUUUUGCAUUCCUCUGUAGUAAUUUAUAAUUGAUAUUGGCCUGGUUUGCACAUAAUGGUAAGCCAUUAUUUGUUUAACGAAAGUGUGGAUUUUUUGAACACCUAAUCCCAGCACAACAGAUUAACAGGCGAAUGUGAAGCCAUUGGUAUGUUGUUGCUUUAUGAACCAUGGCUUAUUUUUAAUUUUUAAAAAGUAGCCAGGAUUUGAUGUUAUGUUCAAACCCAACACCUUUGUUUAGCCAUGGCAACCCCACCACUAGAUGCUUGUCAAGCUACAGAGGCAUGAGUCAAGAGCAGAUGGAAAAGAAACCAAGCUUUGGAGAAACAAAUCCUGCAUUGCAGGGGGUUGUAUUGGAUUGGGGAGCCUUCCAACUCUACAAUUCUAUGAAUUCAUGGCUAGUUUGCUUAUCUGUGAGAUGACUCAACAAUUCCAUGGCAUUCCUCAGUACCAUGAAAAAAUAUACAAUGUAGACACCACUGCAGAAAUCACUUAGAAGUUACCUGCACAUGUUGUCCCAUAACUUUCUUUCUAGGAAGGCUGGAGACCGUAGUAGUAGUAAAGCAGCUCAGAGUCUGGGACACCUGCCCAGGUGUGCCACUAGAAGCCUUCAUAGGUACAAUGGCACCUUCGGGCACCAGAUUGACAACACUUGGUCUACUGAGAGGGCUCACGAUUGAAAUAUGUGGUUUCUAGGAUGCAUGUCUCAGUUUCCUUAAAGAACUCUCUGAGAAUGACUCAGCUUUCCUUGCCAAGGCAUGAGGAUAACUUAGACUAGGGAGAAGAUGUCUUCCUCCUUGGAAAGUGCUGUUAUUCCACCUCUGCUGUCCCACAGGCAGGACCUUUCCCUGAGCUGAAUGUCUUCCUGCCUUCAAAGGGAGAAAAAACUCUUAACAAGAUAAAGAGGCACAGCUAAAGCAGCAACAUGGUUGGCACAAAAUCAUCUCUCACUGUAUUAUUUCAAACCUUUAACAAUCUCAAGUUUUCCAUAACAAGUGAAACCAUUAUACUACAGAGCUGGCAUGUUAUAAAAUAAAUCAUUCUACCCCAAACAUUUUUUUAAUUAAAAAACAACCCUUUAACAUUAGUUUUUCUAACAGGAUUUCUUUUGAGCGGCAAAUUUUGUAAUAUGAUCCACCAUUCCUCCACUUCAGCAAAAAUUAACAACAUUUUCUAAUAAAUAUUUCCUCCCUCAGCAUGGGGAAACAGGAAGCUA